CCUACGGGUGGCUGCAGUAGGGAAUAUUGGGCAAUGGAGGCAACUCUGACCCAGCCAUGCCGCGUGCAGGAUGAAGGCGUUAUGCGUUGUAAACUGCUUUUAUAUAGGAAGAAAUAGACCUUGCGAGGUAAGUUGACGGUACUAUAUGAAUAAGCACCGGCUAACUCCGUGCCAGCAGCCGCGGUAAUACGGAGGGUGCAAGCGUUGUCCGGAUUUAUUGGGUUUAAAGGGUGCGUAGGCGGUUUAUUAAGUCAGUGGUGAAAGACGGUCGCUCAACGAUUGCAGUGCCAUUGAUACUGGUAGACUUGAGUGGGAUUGAGGUAGCUGGAAUGGAUAGUGUAGCGGUGAAAUGCAUAGAUAUUAUCCAGAACACCAAUUGCGUAGGCAAGUUACUAAGUCUCAACUGACGCUGAGGCACGAAAGUGUGGGUAUCAAACAGGAUUAGAUACCCAAGUAGUC
rnacentral:rRNA from 1 species